ensembl:lncRNA novel transcript
GGGGUUGAAGUCAGGCCACAUGGUCACCUGGGCCAAAUCUCCAAGCAGAGCUGACCCCCAGAGCUGUGCAGUCAUUCACUCAGUGCUUAAUCAAUGUCCUGGAGUUCUCCCGGAAACACAGUCUCUGCCUUCAGGGAAUUCAUGGUCCCUUUCCCUAGCAUGUGUAUUUAGCUCCACUGAGAUGAAGCCAUACUGCAUAGGAAGGGCCCUUGAUCCAAUGUGAAGACACAGGGACUUGGAGAGGACGCCAGGGAAUGACAGAGGCAGAGACAGCACUGAUGCACCUGCAAGCCAAGGAGUGCAAAGGAUCCAUGGCCAUCACCAGAAGCUAGGAAGAGGAUUCUUCCCAGAGCCCUUGGAAAAACUGGCUCUGCUGACACUUGAUUCAAACUUCGAGCCUGAAGAACUAUAAGAAAAUUAUUUCUGUUGUUUUAAUCCAUUGGGUUUAUGGUACUUUAUUACAUCAGCCAUGGGAAAGUAGUAUCUAAGCCGACUCUCUUCGUAAGCUUUCCUGUUUCCAAUUUGGGUCCUUCCUAUUUCCCACUUGGAUCUUUCCUAUUCCCCACUUGAGUGCCCAGCCUGCCCACAUACUGAACAGUUGUCAUAGACCCUAUGAAGAAGACUUAUUAAGUGGUCUUUUGUAUUCAGUGCCCUUGGAUUCAAAUUCAUGAAGAAGAGUUAAACUCAAGGAUCAAAUCAUUCUGUAUCUGGUUUGAAGCAUGUGAGGUAGGAUAUUAUCACAACCACAAAUGGAACUAUAUUCAUCACAUUGCUUAUACUGUGUUACUGAUUAGCUUCACCCUCAAUGGUCACUAAAGAAAUUGAACUGACCAUGAAUAUUUUAUAUCAAGAGACCAUCAACCUGAAAAGAGCUUCCAAAAGUAAACGCAUAACUGAGAUCUGGAGUUAGUCUUCCAAGACAAAGUGGCUUGGAUUUAUUUUAAAUUUAAAAUGUAGUCCAUGUAAUUCUCGGGCAGCAUUAUUUUUCCUCUAUAAUAAAUUUCUAGUAUUGGACCA